AUUGAACGCUGGCGGCAUGCCUAACACAUGCAAGUCGAACGAGUGGCGGACGGGUGAGUCAUGUCUGGGAAACUGCCCGAUGGAGGGGGAUAACUACUGGAAACGUUAGCUAAUACCGCAUACCAUCGGAUGUGCCCAGAUGGGAUUGGCUAGUAGGUGGUGUAACGGCUCACCUGGGCGACGAUCCCUAGCUGGUCUGAGAGGAUGACCAGCCACACGGGAACUGAGACACGGUCCAGACGCCUACGGGAGGCAGCAGUGGGGAAUAUUGCACAAUGGGCGGAAGCCUGAUGCAGCCAGGCCGCGUGUAUGAAGAAGGCCUUCGGGUUGUAAAGUACUUUCAGCGAGGAGGCGGUACUCGCAGAAGAAGCACCGGCUAACUCCGUGCCAGCAGCCGCGGUAAUUC
rnacentral:rRNA from 1 species